rnacentral:rRNA from 1 species
UACAGAGGGGGCAAGCGUUAUUCGGAAUUAUUGGGCGUAAAGCGCGCGCAGGCGGUCCCUUAAGUCUGAUGUGAAAGCCCACGGCUCAACCGUGGAGGGUCAUUGGAAACUGGGGGACUUGAGUACAGAAGAGGAAAGCGGAAUUCCACGUGUAGCGGUGAAAUGCGUAGAGAUGUGGAGGAACACCAGUGGCGAAGGCGCUUUCUGGUCUGUAACUGACGCUGAGGCGCGAAAGCGUGGGGAGCAAACAGG